GGAUCAUUACCGAGUUAACAACUCCCAAACCCCAUGUGAACCUAUACCAAAACGUUGCUUCGGCGGGAGCGCCCCGGCUCAGCCCGGAAGCAGGCGCCCGCCGAGGACCCCCUAAACCAUGCUUUCUACAGUUUCUUCUGAGUGGCAAACGCAAAAUAAAUUAAAACUUUUAACAACGGAUCUCUUGGCUCUGGCAUCGAUGAAGAACGCAGCGAAAUGCGAUAAGUAAUGUGAAUUGCAGAAUUCAGUGAAUCAUCGAAUCUUUGAACGCACAUUGCGCCCGCCGGCAUUCCGGCGGGCAUGCCUGUCCGAGCGUCAUUUCAACCCUCAGGGUCCUCCGCCUAGCGCGGCCGGGCCUGGUGUUGGGGAUCGGCCCCGCCCCGCGGGGCGCCGUCCCCUAAAAUCAGUGGCGGUCCCGCCGCAGCCUCCCCUGCGCAGUAGUUACCAACUCGCACUGGAGCGCGGCGCGGCCACGCCGUAAAACCCCCGACUUCUGGAAAGUUGACCUCGGAUCAGGUAGGAAUACCCGCUGAACUUAAGCAUAUCAAUAA
rnacentral:rRNA from 1 species